CAGCAGCCACGGUAAUGCGUAGGGUGCGAGCGUUGUCCGGAAUUAUUGGGCGUAAAGAGCUUGUAGGUGGUUUGUCGCGUCUGCUGUGAAAAUCCGAGGCUCAACCUCGGACUUGCAGUGGGUACGGGCAGACUAGAGUGUGGUAGGGGAGACUGGAAUUCCUGGUGUAGCGGUGGAAUGCGCAGAUAUCAGGAGGAACACCGAUGGCGAAGGCAGGUCUCUGGGCCAUUACUGACACUGAGAAGCGAAAGCAUGGGGAGCGAACAGGAUUAGAUACCCCAGUAGUCCCUGUCUCUUAUAC
rnacentral:rRNA from 1 species